CACCAGAGGAUAAAUGUUUAUUUCACAAACGCUUGAGCAGAACGAACAUCAAUUGGCCAUGCCAAAUAUCCAAUAGCUUGUCUAGCUUUUUCAGUUAACAUUUGAUUAUUAAUGCUGCUGAAUGUUCCUUAACGGGCGAUGUGUGCAGGGAGAUUGUAAGCAGUCACGGUGUGGUUUGCUUGCUGAUGCACUGUUAAUUUGGUCGUCUCCUUCAAGUGAAUUUACAUCUUUCCAUCUUCAUAUAAUGCCUUUGCGUAGGAACUCGGGACGUGUAUCAGUCUGAUUACAUGAGGAAAGGCAAUCCAAUCCAGCGAAUCAAUCUGAAGAAGAAACUUUGAUGCCAGGAACUUCUCUGCCUUCUAAAAUGGAGCUGAAACACGGAUUAUUUGUGUUUAAAAAUAUAUCCAGGCAGAGCAGCAAACUGCGUUCAGCUUCACAGGGGCAACUUUAAUUAAUUUUCCCUGUAGAUAUAAAUGAGUGGAGAACUCUUCCCUGCACGGCAGUCACUUUCUUACACUGCAGUACUUUUGUAACCAACAACAUCGGUGUGUCGUAUUUCAUCUUUCGCAAGAAUUGUACAAAAUUGCUUCACCUAUCAGAAAAUGUAUAAUUCAAUUGGAUGCAUUUUUCAGUUUACAUCAGCAGUAAAUUCAUUUUAAAAUGCAUUACAGACACCGUAGCCAAAUAUAGUCUCCUGAAUUGAUAAUAAAUUGCAAUUACCGGACUACAGUUUUCUCCCCAGUCAAUCCUACAGCCGUCCUAAAAAGUACUCCCAUACUUGUUUUCCUUGAGACUUAAUUACUGUAUGCCCUAAAUAUGCCAUUUUCAACCUCUUAUUUGGCUAUGAAUAAAGGUUUAAAAAAUGUCUUUUCUGGACUAUUAGGGAGAAUAUUUUCAAUUUCUGAACUGCAAAUAUUUGUGAAAAUAUGUGAUCAGAAAGAACACAUUGUACAGUAAGCUGUAAGAAAUAAAAUUCCCGUUAUUUCUGCUGCUGAUAGGAGAGAGGUGGAAUUUAAAUUCAGACAGUAAUCGUCAAUUCCUUCCUCCUCCUUGAAAAUCAAUGAAAACGAAAUCCAUAACUUAUGAUCCACAUUUAGAACUGUGCUUAAUAGCUGAUGACAUGAUAUAACCUAUGGGGAGGAAAUAACAGAGAGAGUCUCAACUUGAAGACAUUCUAGCCCAGACAUCUAGGGAAAAUAAUCCAAAACUCAGUUAUUCUUUAGAAGGGAAAAUGAGGAAAGUAAUGCUGAAAGAAGCCUGAGGGUGAUAGUAGAGAGUGAAUUAAAUGUGACUGAGCAAAAAGAGAGAAAGGGAAAUUUUUGGCUGCACAUUCAAAGACAUCACCUCCUGGAAAAGUGAAGAAAAGGUUCCACUCCAUGUGGCUUUGGUGUGACCACUCUAGGAAUAUUAAAUUCACUCCUGGGUACCUGAUUAGCAUAUAAAAGGGCAGGUUCAGUGGAGAGCAACAAUGGUGUCUGAGGAGUUGUCUGGGCUGACUUUUAAGGAAAGAUUAAAAUAGUUUAGGGGUGGAUUGGGGCACGUUUUAUUCAUGUAGAGUAGCUUAGUUCAUAUGCCAUCCUUUUCCCCUAUAUCUUAACAGGCCUACUUACAAAGCAAAAUGUUAUGGGCAACUCUGUAAAAGUCUGGCCCUAAAGACAUAUAUAUUGGCUAAGUAAUGAACAGGAAGAAGUUCCAAUAGGCAUCUACGUAUGUUGAAAGUGUUAUUAACACCAGUGGGCAUAACAAGCAGUACGAUGAUAUUUUUAAAGGCAGAAAUGUGAAAGAAAAUGAAAACUUAUUGACAGGCCUGUUAGGGUAUCGAUUGCUCUCAUAAAUGAAGGGAUGCAUUUCUUCAUACACAUAGGGCUACAUUUGCAAAACAUAAGCAGUAGUACUCAAGAGAGCAAGCCUACACAGGACAGAAGAUGGAGUAGACGGCUCAGUGCAUUUCUCUUAUUUCUACAUACAGUGAGUUAGAAAUUUUAAUGAGAUACAGGGAAUUACAAGUCAACCUGGUAGCAAAUAUACACAACUGUCUCAUGUAUUAUUUGGCCAAAGCCCAGACAUUUCCUGAAGCACACCUCAGGGUCUCAUCAUGAUGCCAGUGCUAAAUAUCUUACAGUCCCACCUCUGCCUGGCUGGAGCACUGAAACAUUAUGCAGCACAAACAAGAGAUCCUGAGCCACAAUCUCUAAUGGUAAUGUUGGGGAGUCUGCUCAAAAUACUUUUUGGAUCAGCCUUCUGCUGGGUUUAAACGUACUAAGUCUCCCUUGGUCUGUUGCUUUCAGAGAGUUUCUCUGUCUUCCCCUCUUCAAAUCACAUCUUCUCCUUCCUCAUUAUCCAGGCUUGCAUCAGGAGAUGGAUCGUCAUCACUUCAGCCAGGCAAAAAUGUUUGGAUCCUCUGACUGAUGGAUCUGCCACUCUUUGAUACUGCAGAUAUUCAAUAGUGAUGGUAGGCACUGGCCAGUUAUGGCUCCUGCUUUGACCCCCCCAUAGACAGUUGAAAGACUGGACCCCACCGCGGGAUGCUCAUUGCACAGCCCAGGACACCACCACCUUUUCUCCAGUGCAAAGCAAACUUAGAGCAUACUUUCUACGUUCUGGCAGAAUAUUUUGUUUUACCUUCAUUGGUCAUUAAAUCCCUACUGAUUUCAAGCAGCUAGCUCUCAACACAUGACAACAGGGUUAUAAACCACAGGUAUGGGAUGUGAGCUAGUCCAUCUUCACACCCAAUGCAUUUAGCAACGUCUGAGGUUUGAGCUUGUGUCCUUCCAUCUGUUUCUCCUGUUGCUCUUGUGGUGGUCCCCACAGAGUGAUCUCUGGUCAUCUUGGAUAUCAGACUCUUUCAUAGAGAGUCCAGUGUCACACUGUCUGGUGCAAUGGGUUAUUCUUGAGAGAGGGCUUGUCCCUGGAGCUCCCUGGGCAUCUGAUACCCCCUUCUCCCUGGGAAACUCCAUUACUUUUUGGAUAGAAACCAAAAUCAUGCAGUUUAAUAUUGCACUAAGGUAAAUGCUUUGGCAUGAAAUCAUCCUGCAACAAACAUUACAUCACAACUUUAACUGGUAAUGUUUUAAUGUAUAAAUUUCGCUAGGCAACAGACCAGUAGAGUUUUUCACCUUUUAAAGUGACAAGAGAUAUUUACUAGCUUUGUUCUUUGAGAGUGUUGCAAAGGCAGUCAGCCCCUUAAAUGUGAGACAGGAAAGGUUCACAUUCACCUCAAGUGGUUUUCCAUGUCUUUAUUACACAUGCAUGCACACAAACACAUAUAUAUGUAUAUGCAGAAAAUUACACACAGAUAACUGCUGUAGAGAGAGACUAUAAAAUAUAAAUAUAUGUAUAUAAAAUGUUUAGAAGUAUUUGCCUCUCACACCCAUCCUUAGUUUGUGUGAGUGCCAGAAACUAGGUAUGACGAUCCAGACUGGAAGAAAUAUAUUGCAUUUAUGGAAAUCAUUCAUUUUCCCUGUCUGGGAGCCUCUUGAAUAUAAAUAAUAUUUUCAUUUAUAAAUUUCAAAGCACAGUCCUAAGAAUGGGUAAGAAUCAUUAUCUUCAUUUGACAGUUGGAGAAACAAAGAGCAGACUGUUUUAAGCAGCAGUCUAAGGUCACAUGGAGUAAAUGAAGUCAAACCUCAUCUCCCCAGCCUGACUUUCCCUUGAGAGAGCAGACCAGAUAGCACACCACUCAACUUUAUCAGCUGAAACUCUUCAGCAUGUAUGCUAAUAGUAUUGGCAGCCCUGAGCCUUCGCAGAUCAGGGCUGAGGUUUCCAAUGGUCAGCAAAUUUGCUUUAAAUUCCUAAGAUUAAAAAGCCUGAAUAAAUACACUUGUCUUUCUUCUGUUUGUUUGCUGUAAUCUGAGCCUUUGGGUUGUGUUAAAGUGAUGGCUUCCAGGUAUUUCCACCACCAAAAGAUCUAGCCAUCUUUCCUUUAUAAAAAGGCUGGGAGAGGGGAACACUAAACAAACAGCACUGAAUGCUGUCGGUGAAAUCAGGAGAGCUGGCAAUGAGACGCAGAGAUCAUACCUAUUUCUGGCACGUGCUGAGGGCUUUUCAGAGAUCUUUAGAAAAUAAUCUCCUUCCUCCACCCAAAAAAAACCUUAAAAACAAAGAGGCCCACAUUUUAGUUUUGGAGAUGAAGCAGGACCGGUAAUGACUCUGGGGACUGAUGAAUAUUUGUCACCAGCCUGGGUUGGGUCCUCAGGACCUUUUCCAAGGCACAGCAGCUUGGGGCAUUGUUCAGUUUGCACUGUGGGAACCAGGCAGCAGCCAACGUGGCCAGAGCACCAUUCAGGGCUGGGCAUACGUCAGCCUUCUUUUGCAAUCAGAACUUCCCCAAUGUCAGCCAGUUCCUCCCAUUGGGGUUGAUAAUGUGGGACCAUAGUGGCCACAGCCACGUGAAGCAGAGCGCUUCAGCCUCAGUUCAUCCAUCCUCUUCAUAUUAGCUGAAGAAAUGCUUAUGGGUUAACACUGGGCUGUGAAGCUUUACAUCGGGUAGCAUUUAUCUGCACCCUUCUUGCUCUGCACCAGCUGAAAUUCACCGCUCUGAAGUGAUGGUGUUCGGUGUAGAGCUGUUUUUUCUUUUAAGACCUGUCUUGUUCAGAUAUCUCCAAAUUAGAGAAUCACUGGGGACACUGAUAGUUGUUUUCCUUUUAAGUCAGAGACACUAUUUGCUUUUUUGGUUCCUCAGUUGUUUUAUCUCUUAUAUUAUGUUGAACCAUUUUGAAAGCUAUAUCUUCCAUUUAAAAGUCAUAUCCCAUUAUCUAGGAGGGAAUUUGAAAAGGUCGGUGUUAAAAGAAAACACAAGUUAAAACAACCCCAACACUUGAGCCUUCAACACUAACUAACCCAUGCGAUAUUGAAGGUUAAUUACACUUUAAGAAAAUUCUCAGGCAAUACAUGUGGCAUGCUACUGAUAAAAUGACAUUGCUUAUAAUAAAUUAAAUUACAAUAGAAUCUCAUUGAGGCACUAAUCACGGGCAAAGUGCUGAAAAAAGAAAUUAAUGUUUAGUCAGGCUGGUAUUCUUUCGAGUUAAUAAACAAAGGAAAUGGUGCAUUCUGAUUCAUCAUCAAUGACAGUUCAGAUUUACUUGGUAUUAACGCAUUUGCACAUAUGUUGUAAAAUGACAGUGGUAGGUAUGCGACAGCAUUGCUUUGCCAUGUCUGUUAGCGUUUCGGUGUUGGUACAGGCCUUGUAUGCACUGGGGAGAAAUACAUACAGGCAUUCAAAAAAAUGAAAGUCAAAUAUGCUAUCCAGGUUUCAUUUCUUUCUCAAAGUCAGAAAAUCACAUGUUGGCACACAUUUGCUGGUGUGUGAAAAAUGAAGUGUAGGUUGUUACUGAAUCUCAUAUUUAGCAGGAAAGUCUUGAGUGUGUGCCCUGUAUAUCAUGUUGGCAUGUUAUUUGCUAUGGUAAUAAAUAAAUAAAUCUCUUCUGAGAACCUGGUUCUUGUUUUUCAGCUAACUUGUUGACUGAGUCUGGUAAAUGCAAUUGUUCAAAUUUCUUCAUGCUGCAACCCUUGGAAAUGUUACAAACCCUUUUACAAGAGUACUCCUGAAGAAGUGGCACCCAGCAGAAUUCAUACUGCUGACACAUAAAUGGGCUUUAACGUCUGCAGAGUCUCCAGUCAGCUCCAUUUUAUUCCUCUCAAACAAGAACACAAAAUGUAUUCAAUAAUAUCACAGUUUCAUUAGCUAAAACUCCACUGUUGUUAGCUGUACUCAAUAUGGCCAGAAAUCCUCUCCUUUAGAGGAAAACGCAGAUCGCACCUACUUGACUUUGCUUCCUGUGAGAAUUCAGAAACCCAGACAAAUAAAAAUCCCUUGUUAGAAAGAAAUAGAAGGAGAAAAUCUCAAAAAAUAAAGAAUAGUUGGUCCUACAAACUUUGGUUCCGUUUGAUAGCACUCAGCACAUUGUUAAAGGCUGUGUGAAGACAUAUUCUUCUUACGAACAGCAGCGAAUGCCAUGGAUACUCCCAGAUACAUAAUCAUAACAUGAACACGGUCCAGAAAAAUUCUUAAUGUGAAGGAGAAGGCAACAUGGAGUCAUCACAGUUUUAAUUCUAACACUUAAAGAUGAAGCACUAAAAUGUCUUAAAUCAGAUGAUGUCGGCUCCCAUUUCAGUUGAUCAUUAAGCUUUUUCCAUAUGUUUGGGGUUGCAGCCCUGCCUGACUCCUUCUGGAUAGCAUCUGAUGCAUGAAAGCAUCACAGAAGCAGAUCCGUCCAUGCCAUGAUUAAAACACACUCACAGAAAGCUGCCUGGACUGCUGUGCAAAAUAAAAAAUGCAUUUUCUUCCUUUGCAUUCCUUUAAAACACAUCCCUCUUUUAACCCCAGCCUUUCAAAGGGUGUUCUUGUUACUACAAAAUGGAAGAAAGCACAAAUGGAAGUUGGAGCACGUCUUUUAAGGGUUUCCAGGCAGCCUAUAUCAGCCCAGAGCAAAGGAGGGUCUGGUAAGCUGUCUUCCAUCUUCUCAACCAUUCUCAUCUCUAGUUCUGUUUCUAAGGUCAGUAAAAACACAGAGAAGUGAUUAUGCAGGAACUAGCUCUAAGGGAUUAUGCUAUUUGUCAAAAUAAUAACAGUGAAUUCAAUAUGUGUAAAUCUCUUCUCCCUGUGCAGUAGAUCUGUGCUCUGGUGCACACAUGGGAUAUUGAUAGGAGUCAUUUCCUAGGCACUGGCCUUUGGAAGGAGUCUGUGGUUGAUAUAAUAAGAAUCCCAGAUUUUCUAAGAACCCACAAAUUACAGGGGACAGUCCCUCCCGUUCUUUCUGCUAACUGUUGAGUUACUUAGCAUUUUUAUCAGUGACAUGAAAGUAAAUAUAAAAUCAACUCUGAUAAAGUUUGCAGAUGACAUGGAGAAUGGGGUAAACAAAGAUGAGAGAUCAAUGGUGCAGGGUGAGUUAUCAGUUAGAAAACAGCAUGGGUUUUAAUACAUCCCAGUGUAAAGGUGCAAAGAAGUUAUAAGAGGCUGUUAAAGAAUCGGGGACUGACCUUGAAUGAAAUGAUAGAAAUGAAAGCUUUGUGGUCAAAGCACAUGUCCUGGUGAGUGCCAGUCCCUGAGGAGAUCCAUUUGCCAAAAGAAUAAGUCUCUAAGACAAGAGCAGGGGAACCUCGGGAUCAAGAGGCUAUAUUAUGGCACUGAUUCAUCCCGUAGAAGGCCUAAGUCCAUCUGUGAAUCCUAACAGCCCUGCAGCCUCAUUAUGUGAAACCAGCCUGUGUGCUAAGUGUGACUUCCAUUUCUGGGGAAGUGCCAAGGAGCAGAAAUCUUGGGUUCAUUUGACUAUUGGUGGGGAUACAGCUUUCAUCUAUUGGCAGUGGGGGUGAACUAUAUGGCUCAGCCAUUACUAGCUAGGCCACGUGCCUCCUGGCAUCUCUGUUGGGACAGAAGGGCUGAUAGAAUUUGGGCUGUCCCAGUGAGGAACACCAGCCUUUCACAACACAUGGAUAUGUGGAUACAGUCAUGGACCCUAACUUUAGCUUUAGCCAACCUAUCAUCAUGUAGCUGAGGCACAGGCAAAAUGGUGUCGCUUUGUCCUGUCCUGGUAUCUGUAGUCCAGGAAGAUGUCAAUAAUAGCAAGUUUGGAAAGUUUGCCUUCUAGAGUUAAAGGUUGAAGCUCCUCAUGGAUAAAAAGAGGGACUGGAUUUGAUCAGUCUGUAAGUGCCACCAUAAGGAACAAAGCUUCAUACAGGGCUAUGUGGUAUAGAAGACAGAGGCGUAACACCACCCAGGAGCUGCAAGGUGAAACCAAACUUGUUCAGACAUUAGAAGAGCUGAUGCUUGACUACUAGAAGAACCUCCCAAAAACCUUCCUGUGUUUCCUUGCCCUAGCUGUUUUAAAAUCCAUGUUAGUUGCCUUCUAGAAUAGAACUGGAUUUGAAAAACACAGCAGUACCUCUGGCCUUGAAGUCUAUGACUAUAGGAAGACCACUUCCUUUAUUUUCCCCCAGGGUGGGGGCACCCCCACAUCAGCAUCAGACUUCUUGUCUUUUUUGUUGUUGACUUGCCUUCCACACAGGCUAUUUCAGAGUAUAGUCAUAAGCUAUGCUAGAUGAAAUGCCAAAGGAAUUAACUUCAUGUGUGAUGUGACAUUGCCAGGGAUGAUAAGGACUUAAGGCAGGCUGGAAUGGAGAAGCCAAGCUAGUCUUCCUCUCAUACAGACCAGGAAUAAAUCCAGAAUUUGCCACUUGAGCCAAGAUUUGUCUUUUACAAAUCUUGUUUGGAAGAGAGACAGAGAGACAUGAUGUGACUAUCUCAUGGCCUCUCCAGAAUGGAAAGUGUCCUUUGGGGGUGGGGAUCCUACAGAAGCUCACCUAAAAACAUCAGAAGAAGAAGGAAACGUUCUGAGAAAUUUGGCUGUCAGUAUCUAAGCCUAUAAAUAGGCUUUUAGGAAGCCUGAAAGCUCCUGUAGUUUUGCUUGUUAUUUUAAAAUGUUAAUGUCAUUUUAGAGCUCAUGAAAGACAUGAGAUCACUGGUGAAGACCUGUCUAGCCACAUAUAGAAUCAGCAAGAAAUUCAGGUUCUUCCAUCCCAUUCAGCCUUGCCAUGGAAGAAAGACCAGCUCAUGGUGAGUUUUGGUCUUUAUUAACAGUUUAGCCUCUAGGCUCUCUGAUGGCCCACGUUUAGUCUGAGGCCUACUUUGUGAUACUGACAUGUGUUACCUGGAAACUAGCCUGUUACUAGCCAUCUAUUUCUUUCUUCUUAUUUUACACCAUGUUGUUUAGAAAAAAAAAGUUGCAGUGCCUCAAGAGGAGCAGAGGUUGAAUUUACAGAGUCUCGCACUAUGCCUUUGGUUAGUAUGUCUUAAUAGAACAGCUCAAGAAGGAUACUUCAGUAAAACAUGGAUCUUUAACAGUGGCUCUGGGCAUUGGCCAGUGAGACCAUCACUUCAGGCUGCCCGUUUCUAACGAAUUCCACUUGUGUCUUCUUGACUCCUUGUGGCUUCAUCCACCAUUCAGUGCCCCUUCCAAGAACCUUGCACUGAGACCCCAACUGGCUAUGGUCUGGUUAUUUGCAGGUUUUACUUUUUACUGUAAAUUUCACUCAUAUUAAUUCCAGAAAAGAGGGGAAAAAUUAUUUGGGGAAAAUAUAGGAUUUUUGAAUUAUUUUUUUCUUCAGCUUUUAUAAUUAGAAAGGAACAUAAACUGUUUCCUGGGUUGGAUGAGUCAGAUUGAGCUGAUAAUCAUUAACACUGCAUUAGAACACUGCAUUAAAAAAAUAAAAUCCUUCUUGUAAACAUCUGAUUUAAAAAAAAAUAAUAAGAAAAGCACAGGUUAGAAGCUGACAGGAAUUAUUAGCAAUAAGCUCUUUCGCAUAGAAACAGGCUUAUUACCAUGCAGUUGCAGCAGCUGGCAUGAGCCUGGCUUGAUGCCAGCAAACUGUGUCCUGCAAAAAACCAUCUUUCCACCUACCUCCAGGAAAACCAGGAAGACAGGGUUGCAUUCGCUUCUCACUCUCUGCAUUAUAUACUCUCAUUGACCCCCGCAGCAGUCCUGUGCGUGUGUGUUAAGAGCAUGUUUCUAAAGGGGAAAAAAAAUGUCAAUUUUGCCUUUUCAGCUGGUAGACCUGUGAGCAAGGAUUGUGGGCUGCUUUUAAGAGAUAGGGGCAGAAGGGUAGGGGCAGGUGUUUUAUUAUGUCUUUGAAAGCUAGUAGAGGCCACUCAGGAAGGAAAGAAUAAAUUAAGUGCAGCUACAUAGAGAUCUUAGUUCAAAUCAGAUUUGCUAGAGUUCGGGGGAGGAAAGAGUGUUGUUUGUUUAUUUGUUGUUGUUUUUAGUUUAGUGCCAUGUUGAUGCAUGGCACAGUCUUCAGGUCCUGAGUCUGCCCACACUCAGAUGUUGAAGCACGCUUGUGGUUUGCUGAGAUCUGGUGUUGUUUGCUUACUUUUUUUGGCCAAGGACUUUUCCAUGUGAUUACGCUGUAGAAAGUGUGCCAUAGAUUACAUGGACCUCAACCAGGUUACAAGGAGAGAACACAAGUCUGCAUUUAGGAAACCAUCUUCAGUCCCAAUAGGAGUAACUUCAAACAUUUCAACCUGCGACCAUUUUGUUACUGACUUGGUUAAAUGUAGGAUCAGAUGCCGCAAAUGCCAAGGCUGUUCACUUUGCUGGGAGACAAAAAUACUCAAAAUAAAAACUGAAGCAAAAGGACCCAAAACAUUCCUUACUUUGCAGGAUCAGGCUUAAGGUGUGGAAAGCGCAAUGUUAGCAACCUGCUGCUGUAACAGUGAUUUUUGCAUUUAUUCUAAAAGGCCAAAUUAUGUAAGAUUUUGCCAGCUGUAGUUAAAUGAGGGUGAAAAAUACUGGCUGUAAAGGAGGUGAGUGAAAUGGCCUGUGAGGCUUUGUGGGGGAGCACAGAACUCACUUCUGAAGUCAUGACCACCCUUCUGGCUGAAAACAAUGACCUUUGCUGAAAAAACUCAAAGGUCUGGAGCACAGUGCUCACCGCCUAGUCCAAUUUCAAGUCAAUCGAAGGAAGCAAAAUACAAAGGGAAAGGUCAUAUUGACUUAGUGUAACAGUCUUAAUGAAUCUGGCUCUCUCUUUUGCAUUUCCAGUUGAAACAUAAACUCAGUGGCUCGUUCCCUUCCUCUGUGUGCUGUUUCAAAACACAUGGGUAGAGGGAAUAAGCUUUUGCUCAGCUUGAUCCCUGAAUAGCACUGUGUUUAAACAGAGCCUGAAAAGCAGUCUUUUUAUUUUUAGCAGCAGUGUUUUCUAAAAGGAGCUGUUGUUGACAAGAAAAGCCACUCAUAUUUGAAUACGAAACACUUCCAGCACUUUAAGUGUGAGGGGAAAGGUAAGCAAUUCUAUCCAAAGCAUUUGGGAGUCACAAUCAAUCAGGAAGGGACCGUGAAGGAUUUCUGGAUAGGAAAUAUUUAUUUACUUCUCCAAAACAAUUGCCCUGUGCAGACCCAGAGUAUUUGUUUGCGUGGCUGCAGCUCAUAGGUGCAGCAGUCACGGACCAGCACCCAGCUGUAUAAAGCAGUGCACAAAUGCAGAUCAGAAAGACAGGCUCAAAUCUAAGAAAAGAGAUCACAGAUGGAUGCAGACAGGUAGCUGGAGGAAUAUAAGAAAACAAGGUGAGAUUACAAUGUUUGAGUUCUUAUGGCAAAGCAAAACAAAAAAAAUAUACUGAAAGGUAAAAGGAUAACAUUUAUUUGUAUGUUUUUAAAGCUGCUGCUCCUUCCUCCAGCUCCAGUCCUGCCACGACGUCCAAAUGAAAUAAAUUCUGUUAAUAACACCUGAGCAGCAGAAGCAGCCAAGGGUAGAAGUCUAGGUAAAGACAAAUGCUUAAAGUUUACUAAGUACUUAAAAACCACGAGGAGCAGGCCUUAAAAUGGGAAGUGUCAGGCAAGCCCUUAAUAACAGGUAAUACUACCAGCCCCACCUAUAAUUGCUGUAUUCCUCUCUCCACCCUCCGAAUGUCACUUCAUUUCCAUCAAUUGCAGCUUUUCUCUGGGCACAGAUGGUGCCUUAGCAAUGUCUGCAAACCACCUCUUGAAAAAUGGGGUGACUUUUCUGUCUGAACCUCCCAGGAGUUGCCGUGAGAUCAGUAUGAAAUGAUAAGAGCACAAAUAAUAGCAAUAAUAAGGAAAAAGGUGGUCCAGCUCUGCUCACAUCUAGCUGUGCUGAUGCUAUCAUAUCCACAGUACGGUUUGAGGGUACCUUGAAAGCCUGCAUGUUGAGGGAAUAACGUACUGAAAGGAAUACAUUUACCGUGCAUCACACAGUCCCCAUUAGGAGAUUUUUAUGAUCAUAUUAUUAUGUGCUUUGUCUUCAAACAGAGACUUUGCUGGCUUUUUCACCCGUAAGCAAGAAAAAAUACUCGGCAUACUUGUUAUCAGUCUCUUAGUUCAGAUUUUCUCUCUGAUGUACAGCUGCUUCAUUUUGGUUCUCCUUUCCAACAAGAUGUAUUAUUGUCACCUUUUCUGUAACAGUUUCCUUAUGCUCCUGGAACUAGAUGACAGUCAAGAAUAUUACUAUGAAUCUGAGGGGGGGGUACGUGUUUAGAAAUGUUUUAGAUGUGUAGAGAUGGUUGAAUUUUUGUGUUCUGACAUUAUUUUACACCAAGUGGACUAAAGGAUUUUUUUUUAAUUACAUAUAUUAUAAUUAUAUAACCAGACAAAUCUAUUCUUUUUCAGACUGCUUGCUCCAGCUAUUUGGAGGGUCUCAGUGAGCACACACAUCACUUGGAAGCUGUUAGCACUUGCUGAUUGGGUAUGAGAUGCUUUUUUAAAUAUCUGAUGAACCAUCAGGAAGUAAUAAGAAAUAAAAAAAAAUCUAUGGGAUGAGUUUUCAAAUAAAUACAGGCUUGUGAGACAAAUUAGGGAAGCUUUCGAGAGAGAGUGCCUCAAUGAAUAAGCUCCUGUGUACUUGUCAUAAUGUAACACACAAAUCACAGUAAACCAAGCGUGAUGCUUUGAUUCGCAAAAAUAUGCAAGAAUAUCCUUUCAACUAUCCAAUCAGUUCUAUAGUGAGCCCUCACGCUACCAAAAGGUCAGCCUCCAAAAGGGUUAAGUAUUGACUGACAAGAGGAUGAAAGGAAGAGCAACAGAAUGUAGGUGUAUAAAGGUCUUGGGGGACAUUCCUAAAAGUCAGCAUCGGUUUUUACAUUUCUUGCACAGGAGCAGAUAUGAAUUUCAAAUAAUGAAUAGACUUGAAUCGUCUGUACUUUUCAGAAGUGUGAAACUCACAUUUAACUGUGUCCGUGCUGAAUACUUUUCUUCUGUUUUCAUCCUUACGCUUUCAUUCGUUUGAAAAUUCCUGCCACAAAUCCAACAGUUGUACUCCUUCUCACCCAUUUUCACCUGCAUAGAGAAGACCCUGCGAUUUCUACAGCAUAACGCAGCUACAAAGGAACAAACACAGGUGAAAACUAUUAGUUACCCAGAGGUGACAGUGUGUUAGAAACAAAGGAGUCUGAAAGCAAAUAAAAAUAACAGGUGCCACAAAAAAUGGCUUGCAGCCCAAAUGCAGCUGGCAAACGCAAGGGGUUGGGAAGCUGGACAGGGCAUGCGCCCCUCAGUCCUGUUGCAACAGAGCCGUGCUGGGGAUGAUGGCCCUGUGGCAGGGCUCUCUGUGGUGGUGGUGGCCAAACAGCAGACUCGCAGGGUGAGGGGGCGAAUCAAACAGGCCCCUGGCAAUCUGUGCUCCGCUCUCCUUAUUUAGGGGCAGGAUGUUUUAGGAAGGGAGAGUCUGCUGGCAACCUGAUCCUCCCUCCGGUUGUGGGGAUCUUCAAAGGAGAUGGUGCUGGCAGCUGACAUCCCCCCCUGCUCCUGCUGCUUUUUUUUUCCCCAUUCACUCUGCAGAUGCCUCCCCCGACAGACCUCCUGACCAGCUCCUUCCACCUCCUUGCAGAUCAAGUGUGGCUGUGUGCGAGGCUUUCCUACUGCGUGCCAUGCUGGGCCUCGCCAUGUCCUUGGUGUGUGAAGCCACACAGACCACCUUCAAAAAAAUAGUAAUUUGAAAUGUUGCACAGCCUCUAAAUGGGAGCAGGAGCCUGGCGGUUGAGAAUGGUGAUGGCAAACACAUUGAUACUGGGAGGAUAAAAGAAAUGACUUCUGAGAAGGAGCUCGCUGCAAUCUACCCCUGGUGCUUCCCAACAUACAAUAGUGGCUUCAUCCCUGCCCCAUAGCACUUCACACACGCAGGAAUAAAUACAUCUGCUGGCAAAGUUGGCAGUGACCUUUCCCCACUUGUGUUUCUAGAGGGCAAAGUUGGCACUGGCCUAUGCCCACUUGUGUUUCUAGAGGCCUGGGUGCCAAGAAUUAGUAAACUUUGUAAGCCAUCCCUGUACGCUUGAGGUACAAGGAGAGUUUGUCUUGCCUAACCCUGCAGAAAGGCAGAAGAGCUUGGAAACUGUGAAUCCACAUCCCAACCCCAAGCCUCUAGCCAUGCAACUCCCAUACAAUGAGACGUGGCACAGUGCUUUGCUGGGCAGUUGCAGGGACAGUGGGGUGACAUGUACCAGUGUGUGCAUGCUGCCUUCCCACCAGUCCCACAACUGCUGCCUGACAAACUGCACCGCGUGAUGUUGCUGUAGACAGCAAUAUCUAGCCCUUGGAAUGGUUUCAGUCAAACCACACUUAUCUGUCAGCACGCGUGAGGAGAAAGGUGGGUGGAAGGAAAAAGGCAGAGCCAGCACAGCAGCAAAUAUUGACACAAAACAAUAGCAAAACAUUAUUGUAAAACCCACACAAAUGAACAGGUGAGUCUGUGGAUAAGCACAGCCCAGGCGAGUGCUUCAGACUCAUGCGUUAAUGUUAUGUUUCCAGGGCUAAAGAAUGCACUUAGAGAAACACAGCCUGCGUAAGCACAGUAUGCAGAAACUGUGAUGAGGGAAAUUCAAUAAGAAGUGUCGCUUACAGUCAUGCAGCAGGGCAGAUAUUACUAUGCAUAAUAACGUGCGAACAGGCUCGGCCUUUGCUUUUUGUUUGUUUGUCUGUCUGGAGAUUUUCUGGUUGUUUAUUUUGUUGCCUAUCGUUUUGCUCUGUUUGGUUGUUGUGGCUGUUUGUUGUUUUUUGAUUAUUUAUUUUGAUGCGGGGAGCUCCACUGGGCAUCUUUAACUCUCAGCAAACGCCUUCUCAGCCAGGUGCUCAGAACCUGGCAGGACGAGGCCCACAUUUAAUAUUCACAUUAAAACUUAACCUUGAGUCACAGUAGCCCAAAUUAAAAAAAAAAAAGUCUUUGCUUAGUCAUACAGCAAUAAAAAGUAGCCAGUUGCAUCGCCUGCAUUGCACAUGCUGGUGUACACUUAACUACCUGCUUUUCUCCUGAGAUGGCUGAAAUUUUCUCUUCUUUUUCUUUUUUUCUUUUUUGUCAGAAUGUUUUAUAAUGGAAAAGUGAAUAGCUUGUUUCCAUUUUUUCCCCUAUUACAUUAAUCAGGAGGUAUAAUAUGUCUAAAAUGAUUUGCAUGUUUUUCAUAAUGAAGCUGUACAUAAUUCCCUCCAUGUAAUGUCUUCCUGUGUAAAGUCCCUGUUCUCAAGCUGCUUUUUGCCUGUACUGGGCUAGGGCAGAAGCAGGCGGUGCUGCCCAUCCUCCUGGCCCUCUUAUCAAGGCUUUGGUCAGCUGUUGUUCCUCUCUGUUUCCCUCCAGAAUACCAAGCAAGCCAUAGUUCUUGGUAGACAGACUGUACGGAGCGUUCCACUGGCUACCUAAAUACACCCAAACCUUCCCCUCAGUCCUGCCGCAGCUCCCCAGCUUUGAUUUAUAACUUCCUGUUCCGUAUGAUAUGGUCCCAAUAACCUGAGUACGGUGGGUGCUGAGGUACUCCAGAAGCAGGAUCCAGUUGGAUGAACAAAUCGAGACAUUGACCAAAACAGUUCUCCUCCAGGGCUACUUCUGAGUAAUGGCAUUCACCUUCUAUUCCUUUAGCCAGGUUGUGCCAUUGGGUUUGGGUCAAAUUCCCCUACCGAAGUCACCUGUCAGCAAAAUAUGGUGACCCUUUGAGAAGGGAAAUGGCACGACAGUGAAAUAAUGGCACACCACAUCUCUUUAGGGGGGGAGCUUAGCAUACAGAACUACUCGUUCGUGGCAUCAGCCUUACUUCAGGAGAAAGGUAAUACUGGGCUGUGCAAAUACAGGCACAGGAGUUUGCGAAAGCACAUUUUCCCACCCCGUGCUUCAUAUGCAGAAAUGCUAUACUAUUUACUCAUUUGGAUGAUGACUAGGAGACACAUUACCAUAAGCAUUAUGGAGAUGAAUGCCUCAAAUUUAGGAAUUCAUGUCCCAGUUGUUACUCUGAGAAAAUAGCUGUGGACAUGGAUGGAAGCUUAGCUCAACUAACAGCGUAAAAAUCAGAUCUUGGGAGCAGAUGUGAGUAAAGCCACAGAAACAAAACAAGAGCGUGAUACAGAAGUAGCAACAAAAACAAAACAAUUUUCACUAGUGCUGCAUAACCAUCUUUCUUUAGUGGAUUAUAUGUUUUCUUCUUCAGGCAAAAGGGAUUUGAGACAUGCAAAUUCUAGCAUAGGGCUAAGUUGAGCAACUAUGCACUUGCAGGUGAGUAAUCCCACUGACCUCCCCGGGACGGCUCAUGCGAGCUCGGCACAGUCAAAAAGGACACUGGCAGCACUGGGCUGAGUGCACCAUCUGUACCUUGCCUUGCUGGAGCAUGGAAGCUUCUCCUGGGGCUCCCAUCACUGCAAAGCCACUCGGAUACAUAGCAAAUGUGUCCUGGGCAAGGAAUUCAAUUAGUUCUCUUGGGCUACGUACCGUACCUUUUUCUUUUUCUUUCUUUCUUUCUUUUCUUUAAGAUCACAGAAAGAACAUUUCAAGGUUACUCUGUGAGAAUGAUCAAUCUUUUAAAACACAUGUGUUCUCUGAUUACAUUUGAAAAAAAUAUUUAAAAAAUGGAAAAAAAAAUAGAAGAAGAAAAAUGAGCAGUGUAUAUUCUGGUAAUGAAAAACCAGAAAAAUUAGCACAGUUGAGCCCUUAAUUUUCUCCUUUUCUCCACAUUUCUGACAAUUAGGUCUGAAAAGAGGAGAAGGAGAGAAAGCACCUUGCUAGUUCAUCCACAUUAGCGUGCACAUGAGAACAGCUCACUGGGCUUCACCUGACUUCUUGUCUUCGCAGUCUGGAGAAUGCUGCAAGAUGCUACGGGCGUCUGCCGGUGAGGCAACUCAGAACUGGCUUCACAAGCACUGUGUUUACGAGAGAAAACAGCAAAAAUCUCUGCUCAGUUCACUGCACAUUGCACAAGCCAAAUGGCAAAGAGAUGUAUUUUUUUUCUGUGCUCCGAAGUAAAUGGCAGUGCCAACACAUACAAAUAUGCAUCUGUUACUAAUGAGGUGUUUACAGCCCCUGUCUUGCCAAUUGCAUGUAUGUAAUACCUCUACCCAUCUUCACCUACGGGGCUCUGGGUAAGAGACAAUAGGUGCAAAUUAACGUAUGGACAUGCAUUAUCUCCUCCAGCUUGGACAGGACUGGAAACCUCUUUAAAUAUUUUUAAAUGCCGCAGCUCGCUACCAGGGCUUUAAAAUCCUUUCUCCCACUCUUUGCUGAUGGUGAAAAUGUUCUGGGGACAGGACAAGAUGUUUAUAAUCGCAGGACAUUUCACUCUGCACUUUGUUUUAGUGUGUGGGGGGAAUAAUAAUUGUAUUCAGACUUGAAAUGGCUUGGGUUACGCAGUUCAGAGCACAAGCACCUGCAGCAAAUUAAUUUGUUGUAGCACAUUUAUUAUCUCAUAGCUUCUCUUUAGGCUGCAGCUGUUGCUAUUAUGUUAAUAAUGUUUUUUAUCACCACUGUAUACAACAGGUUAUGGUAAUACAGAAAUUUUGGGGCGAGAGGUGUUUCUUUCUUAAUUUUAUUUCUCAGGAAAAAAAAUAAAAAGAAAGAUGGGGAGAAUAUAGAACGUAAGCAUUGAUCAGGCAUUUAGCUCUGCGUUUAUUAGCUGAUUUGAAAGAGAAUGGGCAACAGAAAUUAGAAAAGAGUAACAAUAGACAAAGAUGGCGCGUGCAGAAUUUGUGAAAGCAAAAAAGAAGAAGAAGAGGUGGAAAAAAAGAAAGAAAGAAAGAAACACCGAACACCGCAGUGCUGGGGUGGUGAGUGUUCGGGUGGGGGCGGGGAAAAUGCUGCAGUUUUCGUGAAAUAAUAAGGUGGAAAAAAAGGCAUACAAAGAGUAGGUUUUUCAUUGUCUGUAAAAUAUAAACACAGAUGAAUUCUGUCUUUGGUUUGUUCAUGCUUUUCACUCUGCACAGCAGGGAUGUUCUUAAGAAGUUGCCCUCUGCGAAAUUUCACUAAAUGGAAACCGUGGACCCUGCAUGAUGCGAUUAUAAUCACACCAGCCAUUCUUUUUACAUAAUUUUUUGUUUAAAAUCCAGUAAUGCUUCUUGUUUUUAAAACAUAUAUCUAUAUCUCUACGUGCAUCUAAACCGGCGCUGGUUUACGUCCCCUCAGCAAAGCGCAAGCUGGAGCUAUAACUGGCUGUAUCCCAUCCACGAAUCUCAAUGGACUCAAAAACAAUAUGAAAAUUUUUAGCUGACAAGAACAUGUCUGCUGCCUGCAGUCACUGCAAUAGCUCACCAUGUUGCCUACUAACCAAAAGAUCAAAAAUUAUCGAUUUCAUGGCGCUGCGUGCUUUGGAUAGAAAAGCUACUUUAAAAUUUGCAUUAUUUAAGAAACAAAUUAAGAGAAAAGACCUGUGUUUUAGAGCACUUUGGAACGCAAAAAAUGGCUUUAUGUUUUAAUCUUAUCAAUGAUUUACUAUAAUUCUAUUAUUUUUAGCAGCUGGGGUCUGGAAAUGAUUUUUUUUUGCCGAUGAAUUUAGGAUUUUGCCGCAGUAUACAUCUGCAGUCCCAGAAUCCUCUGGUAAGAUAAUCCCUCCUGCGAUGGGGAGACGCCUUUAACCUUUUCGUGAAUGAAAAAUCUGCAACCAUUUUGAAAUAAAAAGGGGGGAAGAAUGAUGAUUUCUAAGAGCUGGAAUGAAAUUUACUGUGAAUUGAAAGGACAAUGAAAGGAAAACAUACUGUAGUCGCGUUGUGUCGGUGGAGUUUCCAGCCGUUGUCUCCAUCGCUCAAACCCUUUCUUCCAUGGUGUCCGUACAUACGCCUGGAGAAUGGCGUUACCCGUACUGCACGUGGGCAAGAGAUCGAGAACCAUGAUCGGAGACAGACGGAGCUCCCUUGCCAGGAGUGCAGAAAUGCUACAACUUCCAUUCUGCAGACUGGAAGGAAAAUCUUGUCUGCAAGUCAUUGAUUUUGACCGGUGGGUUCUUAGGGCUACCAGGCUGCAUUAGGAUAGCCAAGCGCCCAGGUAGCGAGAGGUGCUUACAGCUGCUCGGUGCUUACAGACCGAAAGGGAAGAGGAAAUUUUCUGACGCAUAAGGAAAACGCAAAGCCCUAGCCCAUGCACAGCCUGUUUGGAGAUCUGUUCAAAUGAAUCUCCAGCCCCGAUAUUCUCGUAUUUUCAGACCACGCAGUAAUUAAGAAAGAUUGGUCUGAACAGAAAAAAUAAAAAAAUUAAAAAAAAAUCAGGCCUUAAUAAUUUAUUAUCUUAUGGUUUAUGACUACGUAUUAGAGUGAAUUACUCAGAAUUAGGAAACGUGGCCUAAAGCUAUCGAAAGAAAAAGGCAACAUUUAGCAGCUAUCUUUUAAGAAACAGCUUUCUACAGCUCUAUACAGCUCUCCAGUUAGAGCAUUGACAAUUAAAGGGUUACGAGUCUGAGAAUCAGUGGUUUCUUGUGGACAAAGUUUGAUGAAGAGAGAAGGCGGCAGGUGUCACACCUCUGCCGCUGCCAUUGUCUCCCGUUUGCGGCCAGCCUUCCUGCAGGGGCGGCUGAGCACCACUGCCAUUGUUUUAAAUUAGGAAUAGGAGACCCGGAAUGAUUACAACAGGCACACCGAGAGAUUUGAAAUGAAAACUUGGGAGCUGAGAAAUUCUUGUUAAUGACAACAUUUUUACAAGGACCAAUAUUGUAGAUUUCUGUUUCCCUUGAUCACGCACUAAAUUUUGAAUAUGAAGCCGGUCUGGUAUUUAUUUGUUUGGUUAGUAGUAAUUAAAAUAUAUGUGUUGGUAGAUGCAGUGCUUCAUGUUUAUUCUGUUCCACUGUGUCUGCUGCUUAAUAUGCCAGUAAUCAGAUAUUCUGAUGAGUAAUGCCUCAGCUGCUAAAUCAGCUGGAGAUUUUUUCAGUUUCUGAAGCAUACCUGAUAUAUAAAGUUAAGCUGUUGUAGACAAUUCACGUGCACUGAAUUAAAGAGGGGAACACUCAGGUAUACUGCAUAAAUUCAAAACGGGAACACUGAAGGAAAGAAAUACCUUUAUAUAUAUAUAUAUAUACAUAUAUAUAUAUAUAUAUCAAAUUGGUGAUAUAUUCUAUCACCAUGAUAUGAUAAUUCUAUUUCCACGCUUGAAACAUUCAUAGAGUACUCCGAUUUAUGUCAAUACAACCAGUUCACCAGAUGUUUUCAUCAGCAUCUCCUAUACUAAUUUACUAAUAUUUUUAGCAUCCCUCUUUCCUUCCAAAUGACCCAGAGCUACACAGAGGCAGAUUUCCUUUCUUUUUUUUUCCAUAAUUUUUGAGAAGAGAGAAAUCUCACCAGUAUUUUGAAUUUGGCUAUCCCUCUCCCUUUAUCCAUAAAGAACAUUUUUUCUUUUUUCUUUUUUUUUUCCAUUACAACUGAACUUGAGUGGCAUGACUAUUUGUUUAACAGAGCAAAAACACAUGUAUUAAUAAACUGCAGUUCUCAAGUAUGUGGCAGGAGCUACAUUGAUUAGUCUUGUAGCUCAAAGAGUGCUUAAAUAUUGCAGACAUCUCUGCUCUUUUCCACUUCAUGCCUGUAUGAAAGAGAAAACGCACUGGUUUUUUAAUAUACUGCAACUUUACUUUGCUGGAAGAAGGUUUCUUUUGUUUAUUUUUUUCCUCUUUUUUUUUUUUUUUUUAGAGAGAAGAUCAGAAUGAUGUAAUUAUUAUUUUUUUGCUGACAAGUGAAUGUAUACGUUUUAUCAGUGUCUGAAAAAAUAUCUGUAGUUGAUUCUACAGCACGUUCAUAGAUGAGCAGUCAGAAGCCAGUAAUGCAUGUGUUUUUAAGAUCCAAACAGGAAAUCAAAGAUUCAGGCCCAGAGCCCUGGAUGUUUCUCCAUAAUUGGUAAUUUUGCUUUGUCCUUACAUUAGGCUAUGGCCACUCAUUUGUUAUCACGUUUCUUACAAACACAGCCAAACACCAGGAUUUCAGAGGGAAAGGUGACCAACUAAGUUUACCUUUAGCUGUUUGUUAUUUUUAAUGGGCUUCCUGCUUUCUACAGUGUUAGAAGUUGACGCUCCAAAAGCAGUGCUAAGGAUGUUAAAAAAAAAGAAAGAAAGAAAGAAGAAAGGCUAUAACAAAAAGAUUUAAAUCAUUAUCUUUUAAAAUUUAACCAUGAAGCUCUCCUUUGCACUGAGGAUUUCUUACUGCAGGAUACACAAUGGACAUGUUAGAAGACUGCUUGACCUUUUGAAAAAAAAUAUGUCUGCAGCAUACUCGUCUGGCAUAUAGUCACCAAAACAAACCUAUUAAAGUAUAAAAGAGCUCUAAGGAAACUUCUGAAGCUGCAUAUUCACCCUCAGUGCUUCUUGGAGUGGGGGGAGAAGAGCAGAGGAGGAAGAAUCACUGGGAUGUUUGUGAAUUUACUCAUGGAAGCUCCACGCUAUGAUAUCCGAUAUAACAUCCACUCUUCUAUUUUUAAUACUGGACCAUAAAACACUAUUUUUGAAAAAUCAUAAGUAGAAAAUGUCUUUUAGAGAAUUUUAAAACUGAAGAAAGAAUGGAAUUACAUGAUAGAGUUAAUUAUAAUGGCAACAGUUCCAGCAAUUAAGAUAUUAGUUUCCCUGGUGUAGGUUUGUGGGUGUUUUUUUUUUUUUCUUAAGUUUAAUUUUAGAAAAUGGUUAGCUCCCUAACAACUACAAAUUUCAAAGCUGAAAUGAACCAAAUUUCUAUCAGCAAUGUGCCUAGAUCUGAAAGCAGCCUAAGCACUCCGCAGUGAAACAAAUGCAGAUUAAAAUGACAAUGAACCACGCAAGACUAAAACAGUGAAAAUUCAACAAGAGUCUAGCACUAUGUACUAUAGGUGUUACAAUUUCAUAUACAUAAAUAUAUAUAAAGUUGCAUGUUCAAAACCUGUUUGUGAAAGGGCUAGUUCCAGUAGUCCUCACCAGGUCAAAAAGAAAAGCGGUCCACGGUUCAGGGGCCAGAAGAUGCUUACCAUACCCCUCCUGCUCCUGCAGAAUCCAGGCUCCAAAAGCCCCAUCCUCGUGGACCUCAGGGGGUAGGAUGGCACACAAAGAGGCUCUGAAAGGGAAGAAUCCCAUUUUCCAAAAAGCACUGACGGGUGAAAGUUGACGUGCAAAUCAUUGUAGAAAAGGCUUUUUUUUAGUCUGUGUAUGACUGGAUACACCGAGAGGAAAAAGAAAUCUGUCAGCGUCACUGUGCGAGCAGAAAACUCAGCGCCCGUCCCGCCG
ensembl:lncRNA